rnacentral:rRNA from 1 species
GACGAACGCUGGCGGCGUGCUUAACACAUGCAAGUCGAACGGAAAGGCCCUGCUUUUGUGGGGUGCUCGAGUGGCGAACGGGUGAGUAACACGUGAGUAACCUGCCCUUGACUUUGGGAUAACUUCAGGAAACUGGGGCUAAUACCGGAUAGGAGCUCCUGCUGCAUGGUGGGGGUUGGAAAGUUUCGGCGGUUGGGGAUGGACUCGCGGCUUAUCAGCUUGUUGGUGGGGUAGUGGCUUACCAAGGCUUUGACGGGUAGCCGGCCUGAGAGGGUGACCGGCCACAAUGGGACUGAGGUACGGCCCAGACUCCAACGGGAGGCAGCAGUGGGGAAUAUGGCACAAUGGGCGGAAGCCUGAUGCAGCAACGCCGCGUGCGUGAUGACGGCCUUCGGGUUGUAAACCGCUUUCGCCUGUGACGAAGCGUGAGUGACGGUAAUGGGUAAAGAAGCACCGGCUAACUACGUG